UACGUAGGGGGCAAGCGUUGUCCGGAUUUAUUGGGCGUAAAGGGUGCGUAGGUGGCGUCGUAAGUCGGGUGUGAAAUUUCGGAGCUCAACUCCGAAACUGCAUUCGAUACUGCGGUGCUUGAGGACUGGAGAGGAGACUGGAAUUUACGGUGUAGCAGUGAAAUGCGUAGAGAUCGUAAGGAAGACCAGUGGCGAAGGCGGGUCUCUGGACAGUUCCUGACACUGAGGCACGAAGGCCAGGGGAGCAAACGGG
rnacentral:rRNA from 1 species